rnacentral:rRNA from 1 species
UACGUAGGUGGCAAGCGUUGUCCGGAUUUACUGGGCGUAAAGAGCGUGUAGGCGGCCACGCAGGUCCGUUGUGAAAACUGGAGGCUCAACCUCCAGCUGUCGACGGAAACCGUAUGGCUAGAGUCCGGAAGAGGAGAGUGGAAUUCCUGGUGUAGCGGUGAAAUGCGCAGAUAUCAGGAAGAACACCAAUGGCGAAGGCAGCUCUCUGGGACGGUACUGACGCUGAGACGCGAAAGCGUGGGGAGCGAACAGG